rnacentral:rRNA from 1 species
AGGCUUCAAAACCUUCGGUGCCGCAGCCAACGCGAUAAGUUAACCGCCUGAGGACUACGGCCGCAAGGUUAAAACUCAAAGGAAUUGACGGGUCCCCGCACAAGCAGCGGAGCGUGUGGUUUAAUUCGAUGCUACACGAAGAACCUUACCAAGGCUUGACAUGCAAGUAGUAGGAAACCGAAAGGCGACCGAUCCUUCGGGAAGCUUGCACAGGUGCUGCAUGGCUGUCGUCAGCUCGUGUCGUGAGAUGUUCGGUUAAGUCCGCUAACGAGCGCAACCCUCACUGUGUGUUAUACGUGUCACAUGGGACUGCCUGUCUUAAACAGGAGGAAGGUGGGGAUGACGUCAAGUCAGCAUGGCCUUUAUACCUUGGGCUACACACACGCUACAAUGGCCAACACAAUAGGUAGCCAACCCGCGAGGGGGAGCCAAUCCUUAAAGUUGGUCUCAGUUCAGAUUGUAGGCUGCAACUCGCCUGCAUGAAGACGGAGUUGCUAGUAACCGCAGGUCAGCUAUACUGCGGUGAAUACGUUCUCGC